AGGUAGUGACGAAAAAUAACGAUACGGGACUCAUCCGAGGCCCCGUAAUCGGAAUGAGUACACUUUAAAUCCUUUAACGAGGACCAAUUGGAGGGCAAGUCUGGUGCCAGCAGCCGCGGUAAUUCCAGCUCCAAUAGCGUAUAUUAAAGUUGUUGCGGUUAAAAAGCUCGUAGUUGAAUCUGUGUGUCACAGUGUCGGUUCACCGCUCGCGGUGUUUAACUGGCAUUAUGUGGUACGUCCUAUCGGUGGGCUUAGCUCCUUGCGGGCGGUCCAACUAAUAUCCCAUCGCGGUGCUCUUCACUGAGUGUCGAGGUGGGCCGAUACGUUUACUUUGAAAAAAUUAGAGUGCUUAAAGCAGGCUACCUUUGCCUGAAUACUGUGUGCAUGGAAUAAUGGAAUAGGACCUCGGUUCUAUUUUGUUGGUUUUCGGAACCCCGAGGUAAUGAUUAAUAGGGACAGAUGGGGGCAUUCGUAUUGCGACGUUAGAGGUGAAAUUCUUGGAUCGUCGCAAGACGGACAGAAGCGAAAGCAUUUGCCAAAAAUGUUUUCAUUAAUCAAGAACGAAAGUUAGAGGUUCGAAGGCGAUCAGAUACCGCCCUAGUUCUAACCAUAAACGAUGCCAGCCAGCGAUCCGCCGAAGUUCCUCCGAUGACUCGGCGGGCAGCUUCCGGGAAACCAAAGCUUUUGGGUUCCGGGGGAAGUAUGGUUGCAAAGCUGAAACUUAAAGGAAUUGACGGAAGGGCACCACCAGGAGUGGAGCCUGCGGCUUAAUUUGACUCAACACGGAAAA
rnacentral:rRNA from 1 species